CGAUGACAGUUUCCAGCAAACUCCUCGGCCUGCUGAUGCAGCAGCUGAGAGGUACCCGCCAGCUGUACUUCAACGUCAGCCUUCGAUCUCUGAGCUCCUCUGCACAAGAGGCGUCCAAAAGAAUCCCUGAGGAAGUCUCAGACCACAACUACGAGUCUAUUCAAGUAACAUCUGCCCAGAAGCAUGUUCUGCAUGUACAACUAAACCGGCCGGAGAAGAGGAAUGCCAUGAACAGGGCUUUCUGGAGGUCUGGCCUGCAAACCCAUAAGCCUAUCUGCUAGAGUAGGCAGAGGUGGGCAGGGAUAGAGGCUUCCCAUUCCAGAUAACCCUUUACUUCUUGUGCCUUUGCAGGGAGUUGGUGGAAUGCUUCCAAAAGAUAUCUAAAGACUCCGACUGUCGGGCUGUUGUGGUCUCUGGUGCAGGAAAGAUGUUCACUUCAGGUAUUGACCUCAUGGACAUGGCAUCAGACAUCCUGCAGCCCCC
rnacentral:lncRNA from 1 species